GAUGAACGCUGGCGGCGUGCCUAAUACAUGCAAGUCGAACGAGGUGCUUUUGUAGCAAUACGAGCGUAUCCUAGUGGCGAACGGGUGAGUAACGCGUUGGUGACCUACCCCAAAGUGUGGAAUAACAGUCCGAAAGGAUUGCUAAUACCGCAUGUGGUUAUCGGGUUUAGAAACUGAUAACUAAAGGAGCAAUUCGCUUUGGGAGGGACCUGCGUCCCAUCAGCUAGUUGGUGAGGUAAUGGCUCACCAAGGCUACGACGGGUAGGGGACCUGAGAGGGUGACCCCCCACAAUGGAACUGAAACACGGUCCAUACACCUACGGGUGGCAGCAGUAGGGAAUAUUGCACAAUGGGCGAAAGCCUGAUGCAGCAACGCCGCGUGCACGAUGAAGGCCUUCGGGUCGUAAAGUGCUUUUCUGGGAGAUGAGAAAGGACAGUAUCCCAGGAAUAAGUCUCGGCUAACUACGUG
rnacentral:rRNA from 1 species